AACGCGCUCCGGGGUCAGUGAAAAUCUGUACCGGCGGUAUAGUCCGCGACCCGCUCGAGUCUCAGCAGUGAGAGUCGGGCGGCUGAACUGGUGUGAUUCCAGUACCGACGGUUAAAGUCCGGAUACGAGGCAGCGCGCG
rnacentral:ncRNA from 2 species